rnacentral:rRNA from 1 species
UACGGAGGGUGCGAGCGUUGUCCGGAAUCAUUGGGCGUAAAGGGCGCGUAGGUGGCCUGAUAAGGGUGUGGUGAAAGUCCGGGGGCUCAACCCCGGAUCUGCCGUGCCGACUGUUGGGCUGGAGUACUGUAGGGGCAGGUGGAAUUCCGGGUGUAGCGGUGGAAUGCGUAGAGAUCCGGAGGAAGACCGGUGGCGAAGGCGGCCUGCUGGGCAGUUACUGACACUGAGGCGCGACAGCGUGGGGAGCAAACAGG